rnacentral:tRNA from 2 species
GGGGUUGUAGUUCAGUUUGGUUAGAACGCCUGCCUGUCACGCAGGAGGCCGCGAGUUCGAGUCUCGUCAACCCCG